GGCACGGUUGCUCGAGAUCUUCAUUCGUGGUUGCUGUUGUUGCUCUUCAUUGAGUGUCAAUGGUGCCUCGAGAUUUUACUUUGAAAAAAUUAGAGUGCUCAAAGCAGGUUGUGAUGCCUGAAUAAUGGUGCAUGGAAUAAUAAAAUACGAUCUCGGUUCUAUUUUGUUGUUCCCGAACCGGAGAUAAUGAUUGAAAGGAACAGACGGGGGCAUUCGUAUUGCUGCGUUAGAGGUGAAAUUCUUGGAUCGCAGCAAGAUGAACAAUUGCGAAAGCAUUUGCCAAGAAUGUUUUCAUUAAUCAAGAACGAAAGUUAGAGGUUCGAAGGCGAUCAGAUACCGCCCUAGUUCUAACGGUAAACUAUGCCAACCAGCGAUUCGCCGAAGUUCAUUUAAGACUCGGCGAGCAGCUUCCGGGAAACCAAAGUGCUUCGGCUCCGGGGGGAGUAUGGUUGCAAAGCUGAAACUUAAAGGAAUUGACGGAAGGGCACCACCAGGAGUGGAGCCUGCGGCUUAAUUUGACGCAACACGGGAAAACUCACCCGGCCCGGACACUGGAAGGAUUGACAGAUUGACAGCUCUUUCUUGAUUCAGUGGGUAGUGGUGCAUGGCCGUUCUUAGUUGGUGGAGCGAUUUGUCUGGUUAAUUCCGAUAACGAACGAGACUCUACCCUAUUAAAUAGUGACAGUAUUGUAUUUUUUGUGCUGCGAUGUCCGGGGCUGCACGCGCGCUACAAUGAAAGCGUCAACGUGAGUUACGUCCUUACCUGAAAAGGUUUGGCAAUCGAAUGAAACGUUUUCUUGAAUGGAAUAGGGAAUUGCAAUUGUUUCCCUUGAACGAGGAAUUCCCAGUAAGCGUGAGUCAUUAGCUCGCGUUGAUUACGUCCCUGCCCUUUGUACACACCGCCCGUCGCUACUACCGAUUGGAUGAUUUAGUGAGGUGUUUUGACUGGCGCCAGUAGUCGGAUGUAUUCGGCUUCGCGCCGGGAAAUUUCCCAAACCAAAUCAUCUAGAGGAAGUAAAAGUCGUAACAAGGUUUCCGUAGGUGAACCUGCGGAAG
rnacentral:rRNA from 1 species